rnacentral:rRNA from 1 species
GACGAACGCUGGCGGCGUGCUUAACACAUGCAAGUCGAACGCUGAAGCCCAGCUUGCUGGGUGGAUGAGUGGCGAACGGGUGAGUAACACGUGAGUAACCUGCCCUUAACUUUGGGAUAAGCGCUGGAAACGGCGUCUAAUACUGGAUAUGAGCAGCGGUCGCAUGAUCGUUGUUGGAAAGAUUUAUCGGUUUUGGAUGGACUCGCGGCCUAUCAGCUUGUUGGUGAGGUAAUGGCUCACCAAGGCGACGACGGGUAGCCGGCCUGAGAGGGUGACCGGCCACACUGGGACUGAGACACGGCCCAG